rnacentral:rRNA from 1 species
GUCGAACGGAAAGGCCCUUCGGGGUACUCGAGUGGCGAACGGGUGAGUAACACGUGGGUGAUCUGCCCUGCACUUUGGGAUAAGCCUGGGAAACUGGGUCUAAUACCGAAUAUGACCACGCGCUUCAUGGUGUGUGGUGGAAAGCUUUUGCGGUGUGGGAUGGGCCCGCGGCCUAUCAGCUUGUUGGUGGGGUAAUGGCCUACCAAGGCGACGACGGGUAGCCGGCCUGAGAGGGUGACCGGCCACACUGGGACUGAGAUACGGCCCAGACUCCUACGGGAGGCAGCAGUGGGGAAUAUUGCACAAUGGGCGCAAGCCUGAUGCAGCGACGCCGCGUGAGGGAUGACGGCCUUCGGGUUGUAAACCUCUUUCAAUAGGGACGAAGCGCAAGUGACGGUACCUAUAGAAGAAGGACCGGCCAACUACGUGCCAGCAGCCGCGGUAAUACGUAGGGUCCGAGCGUUGUCCGGAAUUACUGGGCGUAAAGAGCUCGUAGGUGGUUUGUCGCGUUGUUCGUGAAAACUCACAGCUUAACUGUGGGCGUGCGGGCGAUACGGGCAGACUAGAGUACUGCAGGGGAGACUGGAAUUCCUGGUGUAGCGGUGGAAUGCGCAGAUAUCAGGAGGAACACCGGUGGCGAAGGCGGGUCUCUGGGCAGUAACUGACGCUGAGGAGCGAAAGC